rnacentral:rRNA from 1 species
CACGUAGGGUGCGAGCGUUGUCCGGAAUUAUUGGGCGUAAAGAGCUCGUAGGCGGUGUGUCGCGUCGGCCGUGAAAACUUGGGGCUUAACUCUGAGCGUGCGGUCGAUACGGGCAUCACUUGAGUUCGGCAGGGGAGACUGGAAUUCCUGGUGUAGCGGUGAAAUGCGCAGAUAUCGGGAGGAACACCAGCGGCGAAGGCGGCACUCUGGGCUGGAACUGACGCUGAGGAGCGAAAGCGUGGGUAGCAAACAGG